CUUGCUUCUUUGCUGGCGACCGGCGCACGGGUGAGUAACACGUAUCCAACCUGCCCUUUACUCGGGGAUAGCCUUUCGAAAGAAAGAUUAAUACCCGAUAGCAUAAUGAUUCCGCAUGGUUUCAUUAUUAAAGGAUUCCGGUAAAGGAUGGGGAUGCGUUCCAUUAGGUUGUUGGUGAGGUAACGGCCCACCAAGCCUUCGAUGGAUAGGGGUUCUGAGAGGAAGGUCCCCCACAUUGGAACUGAGACACGGUCCAAACUCCUACGGGAGGCAGCAUG
rnacentral:rRNA from 1 species